rnacentral:misc_RNA from 1 species
GAUGAAGAACGCAGCGAAAUGCGAUAAGUAAUGUGAAUUGCAGAAUUCAGUGAAUCAUCGAAUCUUUGAACGCACCUUGCGCCUUUUGGUAUUCCGAAAGGCACACCUGUUUGAGCGUCAUGAAUACCUCAAUCUCCAUCUUUUCUUCGGAUUGAUGGGUGACUUGGAUGUUGAGCCCUGCUGGUAUGCUAUAUCAGCUGGCUUUAAAUUUAUUAGCCGGCUCUGUACUGGAUCGGUUUGACUCGACGUGAUAAUAUUAUCGUUGAGGAUGCAUGUCUCAUGCAGCCGGAAAGUAUCAAAGCAGCUUCUAGCUUGCCUUUAGUGCACUUUUACAUUUUAGACCUCAGAUCAGGUGGGACUACCCGCUGAACUUAAGCAUAUCAAUAAGCGGAGGA